CCGACCUUAGCUCAGUUGGUAGAGCGGAGGACUGUAGUUUGUAACAGAUAUCCUUAGGUCGCUGGUUCGAAUCCGGCAGGUCGGA
rfam:Glycine soja cultivar W05 scaffold1493_21, whole genome shotgun sequence.